rnacentral:rRNA from 1 species
UGCGCAGGCGGUUAUAUAAGACAGAUGUGAAAUCCCCGGGCUCAACCUGGGACCUGCAUUUGUGACUGUAUAGCUAGAGUACGGUAGAGGGGGAUGGAAUUCCGCGUGUAGCAGUGAAAUGCGUAGAUAUGCGGAGGAACACCGAUGGCGAAGGCAAUCCCCUGGACCUGUACUGACGCUCAUGCACGAAAGCGUGGGGAGCAAACAGGAUUAGAUACCCUGGUAGUCCACGCCCUAAACGAUGUCAACUGGUUGUUGGGUCUUCACUGACUCAGUAACGAAGCUAACGCGUGAAGUUGACCGCCGUGGGGAGUACGGCCGCAAGGUUGAA